rnacentral:rRNA from 1 species
AUUGAACGCUGGCGGCAGGCCUAACACAUGCAAGUCGAACGAGUGGCGGACGGGUGAGUAAUGUCUGGGGAACUGCCUGAUGGAGGGGGAUAACUACUGGAAACGGUAGCUAAUACCGCAUACCAUCGGAUGUGCCCAGAUGGGAUUAGCUAGUAGGUGGGGUAAAGGCUCACCUAGGCGACGAUCCCUAGCUGGUCUGAGAGGAUGACCAGCCACAAGGGAACUGAGACACGGUCCAGACUCCUACGGGAGGCAGCAGUGGGGAAGAUUGCACAAUGGGCGCAAGCCUGAUGCAGCCAUGCCGCGUGUAUGAAGAAGGCCUUCGGGUUGUAAAGUACUUUCAGCGGGGAGGCGUUACUCGCAGAAGAAGCACCGGCUAACUCCGUGCCAGCAGCCGCGGUAAUUC